AUACUGUUAGAAGUUUGUUGAAGCACUUCUAUUUUGUUCUGUUUUACAAUAUGUUGUGGUUGGUUAUUCAUACUUCACUAAAAUGGAUAGUGCAUCGGAAUUUAUCAAUUCCUUAUAAAAAAAAAUCAAUGUUAAAGUUUUUGUUUGAAUGUAUUUUUCAUCGUUCAGUAGGAUGGUGUAGAUAUCGAUCUUUAGGAUGAGAUGCUUAUGAAGUUAUGGGACCAUGGUAAUAGCAGGUUAGGCAUCGAUAUAUAGGACUCGAAGGGAAGUCUGUCAACUACUCGGUGGUGUUUGGAGUGUUUACGCUAGGUGAUUUCUUUCCAUAUUCCCAAGCACCGAUGGACAAAGUAAUCCGGUAUCCUGUUGAAAAUAGUCAACUUUCCAAUGUUUCUCCAUUAAAGAGGUUGGUUCUAUUUUUUAUUUUUGCUAUGCGACUUUUACUUCAUGCAUAUUGUCUCUCUUCAAACAAUAUCACAUCAUGUAAGAGCGUUUUUCGUUCAUCCUUGAAUUAUAUCAAAUAAUCCACCAAAUAUUGUUUUCAUUUAUUUAUUAUCACAGCUAAUACUACUGUUUUAUCUGCAGGCCAUUUCACUCCCUGAAAGUGAUGUUUAUAGUAAGCAGUAGGAGUGAUUCGUCCCUCCAUCCACCUUGCAAAAAUACCUCAAAAACCUAUACACAAACAGAAAAACGAAAAGGCAAACGUCAACCAUGGAAAGCUUUUGGUUAUAUGGCCCACCUGGAACAGUAAAGUCAACCUAGCAAAAGCUGUUGCGACAGAAGCAGAUUCAACUUUUGCCAGAUAAGAUGAAACUGGUGUUCGAAAUUCAGAUAUAAUCAAUAAGCAACUACUUCGUUGUACUCUUGAACUCGCAAGAGGUCAGUCAUCAAAAAGAGUACAAGAAUUAAAUAAAGUGAGAGCUCAAGCCGCACUUGCAUCACAUGUUAUUUCUGCCGCCAUACCAGAUGAUGGAUCUUUGUGGCUUUGGGGAAGUUCUAAGUGUAGGCAACUUGAUUUUGGCAAAUAUUAUUGUUUAGAAUUUUCUUUUUUUCCUGAGUGUAGUUGUCAAUUCAUAUGGUACUGGCAAAUGGCAGAUCUCAUUGGAUUGGGGUCAUGCUCUCGUGCUAACUAAGAGGAACUUACUAAAACUCACCUGAUGGAUUUUC